AAUCCGGGAGAGACUCCGGGGGGAUGGGUUCCCGCACCGGGGCGCCGAAGGGGCAGAAAAAACUCUCAGGCAGAAGGAUCGGA
rnacentral:ncRNA from 1 species